UACUUGUGCUAGAAUUGUGGUAUAAUUAAUAAAAUUACGCAGAAAGGAAUUAGCAUCCAGAAAGUGAAGCCGCAAAGGUCAAGGAUAAAGGUGAAGCCACUGACAGAGUGAUAAGCCAUUAAAAAUUGUUCGAGCCCAAACAAAGAUUCCCACUAGGAACGACUUUCUUUGUUUGGUCUGCGUUCUCAACCUCAGGCCUUAUCUAUAAAAUCAUCAUCUUUCUGUGACUUCGGUGUUUGGCGUGUCAGCUGAUUCUUGCAAUGUGUUUGUUUGAUCAAGCUGAUUCUUGCAAAUCUUCUCUCCUCAAUUGGUAACUGUGAGCAGCUGAAUCUCAAUCAACACCAAGACAUGGAGGUCAUUUUAGAUAAAAAAGAUGCUGGUGAUUGGAUUUACAGAGGCGAAGGCGCUGCCAAUCUUGUUCUCGGUUACAGCGGAUCCACCCCCGCUUUUAUUGGGAAAGUAAUGCGUCUACAGAAAGCUCCAGUUAAUGGGUCAAAGUCCAUGAACAGUCCCACUGCAUUAACCGUGCAUGAACGUCUUCUGUGGAAGGACACGGAGGACAUUGUAGCUACCUCUAACAAAGAACUUGCUUGUCAACUGUUUGUGAAGCACAUCAUGAGCCCUCUAUUGGGUUCCACAUACGUGGAUUCCGGGAUGCGCGUCUCUGCUUCCAAGGAAUUCUUGGAGUCGGUUGAGAAGAACAUAAUUUCUCAGCGUCCUGCUUCUCGAGUUGAUGCAGCAAAAGUUGACACAGAAUGUGAUUCUGUGCUUCUUAUGUCUGAUCAUUCUCUUUUUCCUCGUGGUACUCAUGAAGUUGAACCCUGUAUAUCUGUGGAGAUAAAGCCAAAAUGUGGAUUUCUGCCAUCUUCAAAGUUCAUUGAUGAAGGAAAUGCCAUUAAACGGAGCAUUACUCGUUUUCAGAUGCAUCAAGCUCUGAAGUUGCAUCAAGGAGAGGUAUCAGAAUAUAGUGACUAUAAUCCACUUGAUAUGUUCUCUGGAUCCAAGGACAGAAUACAUAAAGCUAUCAGGGAUCUCUUCUCAACCCCACAGAAUAACUUCCGUGUGUUCUUGAAUGGUUCUCAAAUAUUUGGGGGCUUAGGUGGUGGUGCAGACAGUACCAAUUUUGUGACUCGAGGAAAAUUUGAAGAUGCACUCAAGUGUGUCAUUCAGGGAGGUGAUGGCUUGCGCACAAUGAGUUUUCUACAGCUUGUUGCUGAAACAGUUCAUAAUUCUGGAGUGUUGGAUCAGCUCCUUGAGGUCCAGAAACUUGAUAACCUUGACAUUGAUGGGGCUAUCCAUGCGUAUUAUGACAUCGUUUCGGAGCCUUGCAUGGUAUGCAGAGCAUUCGGUAAAGAAAAAAUGUCACAGAGAUAUCUUUCAUUGCAUUCCAUCUCUUUGGAUGAAAGCUUGAAGAUUGUGAAGGACUUUUUGAUAGCUGCUACUGCGAAGGACUGCAGUUUGAUGAUUAGUUUUAGACCAAGGAAAGAUGGGAAUACAGGAUCUCCAUAUAAUAAUUUGUAUCUAGAAUCAAGCAACCAAUUUUUUGAUUACAAGGUGAAUUUCAUUGACCUGGAUUUGAAACAAUUGAAGAAAAUGGAAGAAUAUUAUGAGUUGGACAAAAAAAUAGUAACCUACUACAAUCGAAUGGUGGAAACUGAGGAAAGACAAAAGAAAAAUACAAGCACAAUGGCUCUUAGAACUGCAAAUUGAGAUUUGUUACAGUGCCAUGGAGGAUAGUUUACUUCAAAUUAUGAGUAAACAUAAGGUUCUUACAGUUUUGAACAAUGGAACCAAACACAUUUAGUUUUGAGCAGUAACUUAUGACAUUUUCCACUUCUGUCUGAUGUACAAAGUGUGAUUUGGAGUUCUUUUUUGUGACUACAUUGCCAAACCACGAACAUUUGAAAGAAAUGAUUUGGAAGAAUCAAUGAGCCUGAUGCUGAAACAUGUAUCUAGACCAGUGGUAAGACUAAUAUGGAAGGCUCUGUGAACUCUGGUUGUUCAGCUUUGGUAUUUUGAUCGGCAUAUAUGUGGAAUAUAAAAGCUGUGGGUUGGCUACAUCAUGUGCUGAACAAUGAGCUCCUGAGCUGUCUAUAGAAAACUGUAGUGUCAGUGGAACUGCUGUGUUCAAAGUGCAGGAAGAAGGUGAUGAAGUUAAUAGCAACGGUAGAAGGGAUAACUUCCAUUGUCCUGGACCCGUCAAAAAAUA